rnacentral:rRNA from 1 species
UACGGGGGGAGCAAGCGUUGUUCGGAUUUACUGGGCGUAAAGGGCGCGUAGGCGGCCACCGCAAGUCGACUGUGAAAUCUCCGGGCUUAACCCGGAAAGGUCAGCCGAUACUGCGGGGCUAGAGUGCAGAAGGGGCAACUGGAAUUCUCGGUGUAGCGGUGAAAUGCGUAGAUAUCGAGAGGAACACCUGCGGCGAAGGCGGCGCUCUGGGCUGGCACUGACACUGAGGAGCGAAAGCGUGGGGAGCGAACAGG